GAGAAAGCUGCUUCCACGGGGGCCAUCUGCCUUCCCAGAACCUCCCCCAGUGUCGCUUCUUCUGCCUCUGAGGCUGACCCCUCAUCCACGUGGCUGCCUGGGGAGGGGGGCAGACAAUCACCACACCGGCCCUGACCUCUUCUCCAGGCUGACUGCCCAGCUCCUUCCAACGGUCUUCCCAGGCGUGGCCUCUCUCACCUGGGUUGUCCUCUUCUCUGGCAGGGCUCCAGGCUGCCCGAGUCCUCCCUUAAACAGGGCGCCCACCGACGGAGGCUGCCCAGGACUUCUGGGAGCCCCCCUCACUUGACCCAGGAGGACAGGGAGGCGGGCGUGGGCUGAGGGAGCCCAUCCCCCACUGCGGGUGCAGCACCCCUUCCGCUCAGCUCAGCUCGGUCCUUCAGUGACACUGACCCUCCUGGGAGCCGACUUGGCAGCCGGCCACGGGCAGCUCUCUCCCCCGGUGACUCGCUCCCCCGGUGACUAGUCGGACAAAGCUCUUGCCUAAUCCUGAGGAUUUGGCGUGAAAGCCUCACAGAGCCGAUCCAUCACCACCGGGAGGACGGCUUGGCGGCUGUUUUCAGGGGGAAUUUCUGAAUCAGGAAGUGAGCACCGGCGCAGUGGAGCCUAAUCCUAGGCCAAGCCUUCGGACUUUUUCCAUGCCUCCAACGCCGUGCCUCCUCACCUCCUCUUGCUGGAAUCCCUAGCUGCCUUCCACAGAGAGCUCCUGGGUCCCGAUCACUGAGCAGCCUUUGGCUUCCGGGGCUGGCGAGCAGUGACUUACCGCAUGAUGGUGAGAAGGGAUUCCUGCUCCAGGCAGACACCAGACUCAUCCCUGCUAGCUUGGCAAUCCUUGAACCUGAGCCAUUGAGAAACUCUGCCCAGGAGUGAGAACGAUAGCGUGAUAACACUAGGGCCACAAGCUGGACGCUGUGCCCGGGCUGGAGCCAAGAUGGCGGCCCCAGAGCAUCCAGCAGCAGCAGAAGUCUCAUGACUCGGAGGGAUCAGGCCUGGGGGCUAGACCCAGUCCGGCAACAAACUCUUUCACUUCCAACUCUGUGGACUUCACUUUCCUCGGCUGAAAAAUGGGGUUUGGGAGUAAAUUGCUUCUAAGGUCCCUCCCACCUUUGACAUUCUCUGUUCUAAGCUCCCUCCCAGCUCUGACAUUCCAUGUCUCUAAGAUUUUUUUUAAAUGGAGGAUCGUUGCAGAGAACUCUGUGCUGAGGAAUUCAUUCCUAAUGUCAAUUAACCAUUUUUAAUUCUUUCUCAGUGACCUAGGAUGGGCAUGGGGAGAAGAAUGCAUCAGUCGAAGCUUGGUGUUGUAUUUAUAACAAGGGGACCCAUUCGCAAACUUGUAAAGUUGCUGCAAACGAACCUUUGGCCAAGGCUGGAGACACAUUUCCUUCCAUCUCCAAAGCCAAGUUGUCAACAGCAGGUUUUACAGGCAGGGGAUUGAAACCUUUUCCAGCGAAGGGCCAACGCCACCGUGUGGACAGGAAGGUCAGGGUUUAGUGGUCCAACACUGCCCCCUCGUGGCCACAUUCCAAAACUCUACCAGAGGGCUGAUGGCAGAAUUCUGCAAUGUCUCCGGGGUGGGGAACCCUGAUACUCUCUGCUUGAAGGCCCCUCUAGCUCUGACCUUCCCUGUUAUAAGGGCCCUCCCAUCCCUGACAUUCCCUGUUCUAAGGGCCCUCCCAGCUCUGACUUGCCCUGUUCUGUCCUUCCAUGUUCUAUGUUCUAAAGUCCCUUUAGGUUCUAACAGUUUGUGUUCAGAACCCUCCCUGCUUCGACAUCAUGCUCUCCACUAGGAAAUCAUCAGAACAGUUUCUUCUCUUGUGAGGACAGGCUUUCUGUCGAUUCUACAAGUGUUUCCCAAACAUUUCUACUCCUUUCAUCGCAACCUCCUUGGCAUUGGGGGAUGGAAGGAGAUGGGGUUCCUGCCCCCGCGGAGCUGAGAGUCCAGUAGAAACACCAGGGCAGAAGCACCAGCUUGUAUAACAAGAUGCCACUUCAGUGAGAGGUCGAGCUGCUGAGACUUGAGUCAGACCUUGAAGGGCAGGUUCUGUGACCAGGCUCCCGGAGGAGCCCGCCCAACCUGCCUGGCGGCUUGGCACGGUCAGGAGUUGACAGAGCCGGACAGA